UACAGUAAGUAGUGUUGCUGUAUAUUGGACUAGAAGUAGAUUAACACUGGUGCUGGUUAAUAUUCUGACGAAUGGCUUUGGUUUUGGUUUAGUUUAAGUCUGAACUGACUUUUUUUGCUUUGCUUUCAGCCAAAACUAAGUUGGUUGUUGACUUGCUGUGAGAGCGACCAGGGGAGGAGUGAGACACAGCCACCGCCUCCUCACCCACUCAGCCCUGCUCAGUGCCUGAUGGUGAGCGCUGCAAUGAGGGGGGAGGAAGAGUGAUAGGGUUCCUCCAGCAGCCAAGGCCGUGUCAGCUGCGUGUCAAAUACAUUUUUAUCUGCAACUUCAAAUACUGUAUGUAAAAUCAGCCCCUCUCCUCCUCCAAGCCUCCCAUUAUUUCGUCGCCUGCUUCCACCUCUUCUUCCAUUUACAGCUCUUGGUGUUCACUGGAAACUGUAGCGUUCAGACUACCUGGACAUGCUCUAUCUGUCCAUGGCCACCUGUACUGAUUGCAUUUCCUCCACCAAUUACUUGGGUAAUUGUGGGAGCACCUGGGCUGCAGAUAACCACCACCUGCGACAGCUCACACACUUUACAACGGAGAGUGGACAUGCAGAAGCUGGCCACAAAAAAAGAAAAAAUGAGUGAGGCUUAAACUGUAAAGAUGCCCCACUCUUUUCCAGGCACCUGCUCCACGUCCAGAGGUGCCUUUGUGACAUUUCUGUCUCCUCCCCCUCAUCAAUCACAGCACGGGACCGAGCAGGUGCUGAAGACCAUCUCGACAUUCCUCAACUGGCUCAGCCUGCAGUGCCGGAGUCUUGAGGCUCAUCCAGUUUUCCCAGCCACCGGAUAAAGCCUCAACACCACAGCUCAGACGCCUGUUAUUGUCUCCCUUUGAGUCCCAAGGUCACAGGCUCAUAGCAAGGGUCAAGGUAACAGGCUGGCAGCCGCCUAACUCAUGCAUAUGGAUGCUCCAUCUGCUUUGCUGCAUAAUGCCAAAAACACAAGGCUCUUUCUCUGCCUCAAAGAGCAGCGCUGCCAGACCUCACAUGGCAUCAGUUCCACUUGUUGGUCGCAGAGUGACGAUUUAUGCAAAACCUUAAUAGAUAUGCAAGUCAGUGCUGCAGAGUCACCAACUCAACCCCCGCUUUGCCUCAGUCGAUCCCAGUCUAUCCCUGACCAAAGACUACAUCUUACUGUAUGUAUAUUGCUGUAUGCAUAUAUGAGUAGGCUACUGUGCUCUAAGGGGCUGACCUCCACUGUGCCAGGCUGUGCAGGCUGCAGUCACACAGUAAAGGCCUGUCUUCCAGGGACACUUUGCUCCAUGCACGGCCACGAGGGAGACGCUCAGUACAAACAGCCUGAUCUGCUCAUGUUAAGGGCUUCUGUCGGUGGCACAUUUAACAGUAAAUCUAUUACACCUUGUGAAUUUAAAGAAAGACCCUGACUAAAAUGUUACGUGUUGUUCUUUUUAGUUUGUGUCAAACAUGAAUCAUGCUGGGGAACAUUUUACUAUGUUCAUGCCAGUUGAUUCUCUGCCCUCACCCACACUGAAACUGGUAAAUAACAUUUAAACAGCAUCAAAUGUCAUUUUGCAAUUCUAUUGACGAUGACCUCUUGGCCUUUGACGCCUCAUGAGACUUACCAUAUAUAUUUUAUUGAUCGUUAUGAAACAAUUUCUGAUGAUAUUAAUGAUUAUGAAUUUUCUCUCCUUGGAGUAAAUUGCAAAACCUUCUCCGACCUCUUCUUUUUUGUUCUGUUCUGUUCUGAUCUCUGACCUCUAACUGUUUCCUUUAGGUCCAUGUUUUAUGUUGAGUUUAUUAAUAACUUUAGCAGUUGUUAGCAGACUGAGACGACAUUGCUACUGUACAUUUUGGUGUGGUCUUAGUUGGUAAUAAUGUACAGGAUGCUGUGUACAUGUGUGUUUAAUGGCCUAUUGGGAGACAAAGCCAAUCAGCGCAGUGCUGGUGUGAUCUCAUGCAGUUUGCCAGGCUGCCACUCGGUCUUUGAUCCCCUGGAGGUUGGCCUUUAAUCUCCUUCUGUCUGAAGUGCCAGUCAUGGGAGGGGGACUAAACAUAUACAUAAUCCUCUUUUGUGAAUGUCACCCCGAUACGUUAGAAAAGCCCCCCAUCGUGCUCUGCCCUGCGAAGACAAGCAGGUGUAAUCAGCUCUUUUGUGUAGCAUUUACAGCCUGCUUAAUGGCAGCAUUUGCUAUUCAUCCAAUAAGACGUGUGACCUCAGACUUGUAGCUGUCUUUCAACGUCUCUUCGCCCCCAACAUGGCUGAAUACGUUUAGCUGCUAAAGAACGUAAAGACACAAGACACAGUGGUGAUAUUGUUGUCUUUCUGCCUUGCAUUUUAAAAAAAAUCAUGGUUCUUCUGCUUAGCAGUGACUUUUCUCAGUAGUCAGGACCUUUGAUUUGUAAUUCAAUUGUUAGGUCCUGCUUUGCUUUCUUCUUUUUUUUUCUAAAUUAGAAGUAGAAUUAUUGUUUUUCCAGCCUUGCUGUUAUAAUUCAUUAUUAAAUCUUUAAA